rnacentral:pre_miRNA from 1 species
UUCAUGUCCAACGUUUGACUGUUGACUGUUGACUGUCCGUCUUAUAUGAAAUUUUUUUAUAAUUAGUAUUUUCAUUGUUGUUAGAUGAUAAAACAUGAUUAAUAUUUUAUACGUGACUUGUAUUUUUAUUUUUUUUUAAUUUUUUUAAAUAAGACGAAUGGUCAAACGUUGGACACGAAAACUCGGGG